rnacentral:lncRNA from 1 species
UGAACAGAUAGGCAGAAAAAGCAGUAAUACUGAGACUUUUUGAACUCACCAUUCAUUCAUCUUGGCUACUGAUAAGAGAAGCAUAAACAUAAUGGGAUGGCAGGUUUUUUAAGGAAUUUUGAUUUUACAGUAAAUUUAAAAUUGUUCUAACUUUUUGAAAAAAAUUUCUCAUCUUGUUCACUGUUGGCCUUUUAAUAUUUGAUAUGCUCCAUAAAUCACAAAAGCAUUAUACAAAAUUUCAAGAGUUUUCAAAAGCAGUAAGCCAUAUAAAAAUUCUGUUUAUUUCACCAAUGAGAAACUUUCUCCUAUGGGUUCUUCACUGGGUUGUAGAUCUCUAGUUUCAUUAUUGUCCUGCCCAGAUAAUCAAAGACUCUAUCAGUUCCUAUAAAAAAAUGAAAAAGUAAAAACAGACUAAGAAACACAUAUCUAAUUGUUUCAUUAACCUUCUCAGAUGUUAACAAUGAUUGAGUUAAAGGUGAUCCGUAAAAUACCUAAACAUAAAAUUUUUCUUUAAAUACUUGUGAUAACCAACUCUCUUUUUGAUCCAUCCUUAAAUAUGAAUGUUUUUCUCUGUAAAUUGAAAGCAAGGAGUUUGUUUAAAAAAAAAAAAAAACAACUCUUAAUCUGUUGUCACUGUGCUGGGGAUAAGUAAUUGAGAACACGGAGGUAAAAAGACCAUAGGAUUUAUGAUAAACAUGCAGCCAGGUUUUAAUCUCACAUUUAAUCUUGUGGGGGAUCUGUGUGUGGUUUGGUGGAAACAUGCACAUAUAGACAGUAUAUUUAUAUAUUUGACAAUCUCGUAUAAGUGUCACUUAUUGUUGCUUUUUCACUGCUUCCUCUAAU